CGCAAUGUGGUGUAGUUGGUUACAUCUAAGAGUCAUGGUCUUAGGAGGGCAGUUCGAUUCUGCCUAUUGCUA
rnacentral:tRNA from 1 species